rnacentral:rRNA from 1 species
UACGGGGGGGGCAAGCGUUGUUCGGAAUUACUGGGCGUAAAGGGCUCGUAGGCGGCCAACUAAGUCAGACGUGAAAUCCCUCGGCUUAACCGGGGAACUGCGUCUGAUACUGGAUGGCUUGAGUUCGGGAGAGGGAUGCGGAAUUCCAGGUGUAGCGGUGAAAUGCGUAGAUAUCAGGAGGAACACCGGUGGCGAAGGCGGGUCUCUGGGCCGAUACUGACGCUGAGGAGCGAAAGCGUGGGAGCGAACAGG